GGCGAACCGGGAGAACUGAAACAUCUAAGUACCCCGAGGAAAAGAAAUCAACCGAGAUUCCCUCAGUAGCGGCGAGCGAACGGGGAUUAGCCCUUAAGCAUCUUGGAAGUUAGUGGAACGGUCCUGGAAAGGCCGGCGAUACAGGGUGAUAGCCCCGUACACGAAAACAACCUUGAUGUGAAAUCGAGUAGGGCGGGACACGUGACAUCCUGUCUGAAUAUGGGGGGACCAUCCUCCAAGGCUAAAUACUCCUGACUGACCGAUAGUGAACCAGUACCGUGAGGGAAAGGCGAAAAGAACCCCUGUGAGGGGAGUGAAAUAGAACCUGAAACCGUGUACGUACAAGCAGUGGGAGCCCUUCGGGGUGACUGCGUACCUUUUGUAUAAUGGGUCAGCGACUUACAUUUUGUAGCGAGGUUAACCGUAUAGGGGAGCCGUAGGGAAACCGAGUCUUAACUGGGCGUCUAGUUGCAAGGUGUAGACCCGAAACCGGGUGAUCUAGCCAUGGGCAGGUUGAAGGUUGAGUAACAUCAACUGGAGGACCGAACCCACUAACGUUGCAAAGUUAGGGGAUGACCUGUGGCUGGGGGUGAAAGGCCAAUCAAACUCGGAGAUAGCUGGUUCUCCCCGAAAGCUAUUUAGGUAGCGCCUCGGACGAAUACUACUGGGGGUAGAGCACUGUUUGGGCUAGGGGGUCAUCCCGACUUACCAACCCCAUGCAAACUCCGAAUACCAGUAAGUAAUAUCCGGGAGACACACGGCGGGUGCUAACGUCCGUCGUGAAGAGGGAAACAACCCAGACCGCCGGCUAAGGUCCCAAAGUUCUGGUUAAGUGGGAAACGAUGUGGGAAGGCUCAGACAGCUAGGAUGUUGGCUUAGAAGCAGCCAUCAUUUAAAGAAAGCGUAAUAGCUCACUAGUCGAGUCGGCCUGCGCGGAAGAUGUAACGGGGCUCAAACCAGGCACCGAAGCCGCGGAUUCACGCUAAGCGUGAGUGGUAGGGGAGCGU
rnacentral:rRNA from 1 species